CAGAUAAGCAUGUGGAGAGUCUCCUGCAAACCUACUUCUAUGAGCUUUUAUUAAAGAGUUAUUCCAUGGAAGUUAGAUGAAGCAGUCAGGUUCUUUGGGAAUCUGUUCCGUGCAGCAGCAGAGAGAGAACAGAGGACAGGAGAGAAGAUACUGGAGCUGUUAUCAUCAGUGUGCAGAUAUAAAGGAUUUCCUCUCAAAGGCAAAUGGUGUGAUUUCCUCAUGGACCUGUACUCUUAUGAGACUAAAACAGGCUUGAGUGUCCUUCCAUCAUUACAGUCAGUUUUCCAGUCCACUCCUGCAGUCUGGUCCAUAAACCUUUCAAAGAGAAAGACCUCCAUCCUCCUGGAAGUGCUGAAACACCAACCAGAGAAGAAACAAGUGAAGCUGACAGGCUGCUCACAUGAAGAGAGUGAAGUGAGGAGUUUCCUGCAGUGUCUGCCUUAUAUCUCACAGCUCAGUGUUGAUACUAAGACAUCAGAUGAAGACACAACAAAGUUCUUUGGGAAUCUGUUCUGUGCAGCAGCAGAGAGAGAACAGCAGACAGGAGAGAAGAUACUGGAGUUGUUAUCAUCAGUGUGCAGAUAUCAAACAUUCCCUUUUGGGAACAUGGCUUUGAAUAAAUAUAGAACGAAAUAUCAGUGUAAUUUCCUGCUGGAUCUGUACUCUCAUGUGACUAAAACAGGCUUGAGUGUCCUUCCAUCAUUACAGUCAGUUUUCCAGUCAGCUCCUGCAGUCUGGUUCAUAAACCUCUCAGAGAGAAAGACCUCCAUCCUCCUGGAAGUGCUGAAACUCCAACCAGAGAAGAAACAGGUGGAGCUGACAGGCUGCUCACAUGAAGAGAGUGAAGUGAGGAGUUUCCUGCAGUGUCUGCCUUACAUCUCACAGCUCAGACUGAGUGAGGAGAAUUACCAUCUGCGACCGACUUUCCACUUUCAUUGUCCUCAUUUAGUAAUAUUAAAUAAGAUCUAAAUGGACUGAAUAAAUAAAAAUGGCUCAGCUAUGAACCUAUUAAUCUAUAUUUCUACAUCACCGAGGAAAGACUACUGUCACCUUAAGGGUUCAAAGAGUCAAGUAUAAUAAGCAGUAAUCAAUGAAAAUUCCUUUACUACCACCUGGGACUUUGUGAAGCAUGGCUGGAUGAUGGAUGAACUCAAAAACUUGAGUUAUAAGAUUUCUACAUCAGAAAAGGUCUUUCCCAGAGCUCGUGGCCUUAAAAAUCACCUCUAAAUGCAACCUCCUGUUCACUUUUAUACAUGUUCUCUCAAAACAGUCAGAGGAUUUUACCAUCAAUGUUCAUUCGUCCUGUAGAUUUGACGUCUAUAACUCUGGGACUCAAUUAUAAAAUAAGACUGGGAGACUGCAGCACUGUGGAGACUGAGCUCAGUGCUGACACAAAUAUCCAUUAUCCAUUUGUUUUCUUUGUUGUUCUUUUUUGGGGGGGUGGGGGGUCAGUAUGAUUCUUACUAUUAUCAUUUGUUUGUCAGUUAUUCAUAAAAUAUAUGAAUAAACAAUUAUGCGUUUCAUUUUUCUCAAUUUAUUUUUCAGGACAUUACAGUGACAGUUGUGUGAUCAGUAUAUUUAACAUCUCGUGGUCACAUUGCAUAACUACAUUGUUAUACCUUUUAGUUUUUAACCCUCUGGGGUCCAGGGUAUAAUUGGCCAUUUUUGACUACUUUUGAUUUUAUGUCUAUAUUUCACUUUUAAAACAUGUUUUUCUUGCCUUGUUUGGUAUCAUUAUUUUCAGCACAACCUCAAAUAUCUGAAAUUUGAGUUAUUUUUUUCAUUUUGGUAUACUAUAUUAGCACAGUUGAUCUAAAUUCAGAUAAAAAAUUUAAAAUCCGAGUAGAAAAAAGUUAUAUUUCUUACUGUAAAACCCACAAACGUGUUCAACAAAUCAUUUUUACAACUUGAAAUACA
ensembl:lncRNA